UCAGACGCUGGGGCUCACCUUUUUCUGAUACUUUCUCAAAUGUAAUUUCCUUUCCUUCUGCAUGGUCAGCUAAUCUCAUCUGGAUGAACCAAGGUAAAUGUCCGUCCACGAAGAGAAGGCUCCUCACCGCCUUACCAAGCCAGGGGAAGUCAAGAGAUAGAAGGCCUCUUACUGUUAAUUAAGAAAGUCUCAGGAAAAACACACACUGACUCCAGGCCUACGGAAGCCAGGAUAAAUAAGGGAACAUUUUCAUAAAGGGAAGUAUAUAAACUGUGCUGUUCGCAGGCACUUAAGAGAGGGUGGCGGCUCCUUCUGCAUUUGCUGCACCUUGGUUGACGUCAGUGGUGUAUUUGGGGGCAACACACCAGUCACCUUCACUAACCAGCACUCCAAAGUCCAGCUGCUUCAGAUACACUAAAGCUCGGAAACCGAUCUGCAGUCAUGCCUGUUAACUUCAGACCAGCUCUGCGGCAGAGGGGGGACCUUGAGCACAAGCUGAUGCUGUGAUCCCUGAAGGUGUGAACCAGGAGGCAACGUGAUGGUCCAAGAGCACAGUGUGUGAGCCAGGAGUCUCCAGUGUGCGGUGACUAUGCCUGGCAACACUAGGAUGGAAUCAAGUCCCUGGGUGCUGUACACGGGCUUGUCACUCUGAUCUUCCUCGAGCCAGUGUCUUAGUCCACUGGUAUUGCUAUGACAAAAUGCCUGAGACCAGAUGUGCCAUGCCUCCGUAUCCUACAGAGGGAAGGGCAGCAUCCUCACACAGUGGAAGAGAUAGAGGGAGAAAAACAGAUGGAAGGAUACAUGCUCUCAGUUAAGACUUUUUAUGAGGUCACUUAACCCCAUUCAUGAGGCUGUAGCUCCCGGUAAUCACUUCCCCCAAUAUUAUUGACUUAGGGACUAAGUUUCAACAUGCACUUUGGAAGGAACCAAAAAUAUUCCAAAAUGGUAGCAGCCAGAUUUUUCCAGUUCUUCCACCUCACCGAUCCAGUGUCCUUAGAGUCAGGCUGAGAAAAUCCAGCUCAACCCCGGGACUCAUUCUCCAUGCUGCCAGUCGUGGGAAGAGGAAACAGCUCCUGGAUCCCAUCGGGCAGCAAUGCUUGCGGGUUGGUCUCUGUGGUCUCUGCCUCCCUCUUCUGAACGCCGUGCCUCUUUCUCCCUCUGCCCAGUUCUCUUCCUGUUGGGGCAAAGUUGAAGCAGAAGUUGAGCCCUGGACUGGUGAUACUGCGCAGGAAAUCCAGCUAGUUAAAUAAAGCUGGCCGCAGCCAGCGCUGAAAUUAACUUUAAUGGCUUGCUUUUGCUUCUAGCACUAUCCUUGUUCUCUUUUUUCUAUCAAAAGCCAUCCAUCUGGGG